GGCAGGAAUGCAGAGCUGGGGCCAGCACGGGUGGAUAGUGUUCUCUGGAGCAGGGCUCCUCAAAGUGUGGGCCACAGACUGGCUGCUUGAUACAGUCCAUGACAAGAAGACUCUUGAGAGUCCCUUGGACUGCAAGGAGAUGCAACCAAUCCAUUCUGAAGGAGAUCAGCCCUGGGAUUUCUUUGGAAGGAAUGAUGCUGAAGCUGAAACUCCAGUACUUUGGCCACCUCAUGAGAAGAGUUGACUCAUUGGAAAAGACUCUGAUGCUGGGAGGGAUUGGAGGCAAGAGGAGAAGGGGACGACAGAGGAUGAGAUGGCUGGAUGGCAUCGCCGACUCGAUGGACGUGAGUUUGAGUCAACUCCAGGAGUUGGUGAUGGACAGGGAGGCCUGGUGUGCUGCGAUUCAUGGGGUUGGAAAGAGUCGGACACGACUGAGCGACUGAACUGAACUGAACUGAACUGAAUGCCUAAUGAUGCUGGGCAUCUUUUCAUGUAUUCAUCGUCUACUUGCAUAUCUUCUCUGAAGAAAUAUCUGUUUUGAUCCUUUGCCCAUUUUUAUGUUGGGCUUUUUAUCUUUUUAUUAUUGAAUUGCAAGAGUUCUUUAUGUAUUCUGGAUACAAG
ensembl:lncRNA